rnacentral:rRNA from 1 species
UACAGAGGUCUCAAGCGUUGUUCGGAUUCAUUGGGCGUAAAGGGUGUGUAGGUGGCGCCGUAAGUCGGGUGUGAAAAUUUCGGAGCUUAACUCCGAAACUGCAUUCGAUACUGCGGUGCUUGAGGACUGGAGAGGAGACUGGAAUUCAUGGUGUAGCAGUGAAAUGCGUAGAGAUCAUGAGGAAGACCAGUGGCGAAGGCGGGUCUCUGGACAGUUCCUGACACUGAGACACGAAGGCCAGGGGAGCAAACGGG